rnacentral:misc_RNA from 1 species
AAGUCGUAACAAGGUCUCCGUUGGUGAACCAGCGGAGGGAUCAUUACAGAGUUGCAAAACUCCAACCAUUGUGAACGAACCGCUAAGCUGCAGCGGGUGGUGCUCUGUACCACCCGCUGGCAGCCUGCAAACUCUUGAUUACAGUGUAUCUCUGAGUGUCUUAUUUAAUAAGUCAAAACUUUCAACAACUGAUCUCUUGGUUCUG